rnacentral:rRNA from 1 species
UUGAACGCUGGCGGCAGGCCUAACCCAUGCCAGUCGAACGGUAACAGAAAGCAGCUUGCUGCUUUGCUGACGAGUGGCGGACGGGUGAGUAAUGUCUGGGAAACUGCCUGAUGGAGGGGGAUAACUACUGGAAACGGUAGCUAAUACCGCAUAACGUCGCAAGACCAAAGAGGGGGACCUUCGGGCCUCUUGCCAUCGGAUGUGCCCAGAUGGGAUUAGCUAGUAGGUGGGGUAACGGCUCACCUAGGCGACGAUCCCUAGCUGGUCUGAGAGGAUGACCAGCCACACUGGAACUGAGACACGGUCCAGACUCCUACGGGAGGCAGCAGUGGGGAAUAUUGCACAAUGGGCGCAAGCCUGAUGCAGCCAUGCCGCGUGUAUGAAGAAGGCCUUCGGGUUGUAAAGUACUUUCAGCGGGGAGGAAGGGAGUAAAGUUAAUACCUUUGCUCAUUGACGUUACCCGCAGAAGAAGCACCGGCUAACUCCGUG